rnacentral:tRNA from 1 species
GCCCAGUAGCUCAGUUGGUAGAGCAUGAGACUCUUAGUCUCAGGGUCGUGGGUUUGUGCCCCACAUUAGGCA